UGAUUCAUCUCCCGGCGGAAAACACGUCCUUAAACGUCGUCCAGACUAGGGAACGCGCACGAGGAGGCGAACGGGAGAGCUGGGAGGGGAACGAGUAGCGGUAGGUAAAAUAAGUCUCACAUCUACCGCCCGUUUUAUGGAUUCGAGGUCUCGUUCCUACUUUUCGUGAGGUAUGUGUGAGUGUUCCUACUACUAGGUAGACAAAGAUCCUACCACCCUGAACUCCAGUUUGACGUGUCCAUACGUGGUCUAAGUUCCUAGUCGAUGAACUACUUUAUAUGUCCUCUGAGAGGAUGAGUUGUAAUGGAAUUUUUUCUUAGUUCCUAGUCAAGUUACCCUUAACCUUACUACUUUUGUGAACAAACUCGUGUAGACUAGGAGUAUUAUCGUAUAAAAAUUAUUUAGUGACAUCAGUUUAGUGAAAAAAAAAAUAUUAAAGAUAUCAUUUUAGUGAAUGAUAACACAUAUUCACGGUAAUUCCUAUUAGGAUCUAGACGCCCUAUCAAACCUUCAAUAUGGGUUCCGUAAUAUUAACGAGAUAUAAUAAUAAUUAAAGCAUAUAGUAGUGGAAUCUGAUGAGCUUGACAGCCGGUACGAAACACUAAUUUGUUAAGAACUGACUAAUUUAGGUAAAGUUCACAUUACGUUCACAACUUAACACUAGGUACUUGUCGUUCGGGUAAACCCCUUACAUAAACUUGUUACUGGGUUCGUCAGCGUGUUCACCUAGACGUGUAUAAUAAUAGUUCCUUUUGUCUCAUCCAGUACCACCUACUUCUCUUGUAAUUGGCUGUCUGAAAAGCCAACGACUAGUUUAUAUUUUAUACAUUAAAAGACCAAGUCAUUAUUUGCCCGUUAAGUUGAAUACCGACCCCGUCGGACUAAAGGAGGAUGUGUGCGGGCGAUCGUCGUCGUCAAUGCUGGUCCGCCAACGCCUUCCACUAUCCACACCACCAGCCGCCACGGACCCGAUAACUACAAGCUAAACUCUCCUUCUUCUCUCUAACCGACGACUAAAACCCUCCUUCUUCUCUCUAACUCGCACGACAACGACGGCACACACCAGAACCCUCUCCUUAUUUUCUCUCAUCAUCUCUCGAAAUCUCUCUAUCGUUUCCUAACUCUACGAUGAGGAUAAACAUAACGACAGCUACGAACGUGUUACGGUAACGAAUAAUAUGG
rnacentral:rRNA from 1 species